rnacentral:rRNA from 1 species
GAUGAACGCUGGCGGCGUGCCUAAUACAUGCAAGUCGAGCGAACAGACGAGGAGCUUGCUCCUCUGACGUUAGCGGCGGACGGGUGAGUAACACGUGGAUAACCUACCUAUAAGACUGGGAUAACUUCGGGAAACCGGAGCUAAUACCGGAUAAUAUAUUGAACCGCAUGGUUCAAUAGUGAAAGACGGUUUUGCUGUCACUUAUAGAUGGAUCCGCGCCGCAUUAGCUAGUUGGUAAGGUAACGGCUUACCAAGGCAACGAUGCGUAGCCGACCUGAGAGGCUGAUCGGCCACACUGGAACUGAGACCCGGUCCAGACUCCUACGGGAGGCAGCAGUAGGGAAUCUUCCGCAAUGGUCGAAAGCCUGACGGAGCAACGCCGCGUGAGUGAUGAAGGUCUUCGGAUCGUAAAGCUCUGUUAUUAGUGAAGAACAAAUGUGUAAGUAACUAUGCACGUCUUGACGGUACCUAAUCAGAAAGCCACGGCUAACUACGUG